rnacentral:rRNA from 1 species
AUGAACGCUGGCGGCGUGCUUAACACAUGCAAGUCGCACGGAAAGGCUCCUGCUUGCAGGGGUACUCGAGUGGCGAACGGGUGAGUAACACGUGGGUGAUCUGCCCUGCACUUCGGGAUAAGCCUGGGAAACUGGGUCUAAUACCGGAUAGGACGAUGGUUUGGAUGCCAUUGUGGAAAGUUUUUUCGGUGUGGGAUGAGCUCGCGGCCUAUCAGCUUGUUGGUGGGGUAAUGGCCUACCAAGGCGUCGACGGGUAGCCGGCCUGAGAGGGUGUACGGCCACAUUGGGACUGAGAUACGGCCCAGACUCCUACGGGAGGCAGCAGUGGGGAAUAUUGCACAAUGGGCGCAAGCCUGAUGCAGCGACGCCGCGUGGGGGAUGACGGCCUUCGGGUUGUAAACUCCUUUCGCUAGGGACGAAGCGCAAGUGACGGUACCUGGAGAAGAAGCACCGGCUAACUACGUG